UCGAUUCCAGUCUCCCUAUUUUUGAGUUCAUCGGAUCUAUCCUCCAUUGUUGCAUUCAGACUCAUCGCUAACAUUUCAUCCACCAUUUGUACUGAUUCUUUCACGAUUUACCAAGUCUUGCACUGCACACGGUACCUCCUCUAUCCAGUAUUGAGGACCGUCGAACUUCUUUCCUUCAAUCGCUAUUUCAUGCGCCACCGUAUUUGCUUCUUUUUGUACAUAUUGAAACUGUAUGCUACUAAAUCUGUAGGAUUUCUCCUUGAUUACAUGAAUAAUGCUUUUAAUACUUCUGUUGCAAGGGUUAGUUUUCUGAUGACCAUCAACGCAUCUCCUUCAACACAUAUUUCGCGAAAACCCAUUUCUUUUGCCAUGGUGAUAGCCUGUAAACAUGCCUUUGCUUUAGCCGUUGUUGGAUCUGUAAUAUUCUCCCAUGGAUAAGUACACGAUGCCAUAGCCAAACCAUCUUUAUUACGCGUAACUAUACUUGACACUGAUGAAUAAUGGUUCUGAUUAUAGGACGUAUCAAAAUUGAUUUUUAUGAUAUCUCUCCUAGGUGGUUGCAACAAAAUAUUUUUUAUCUCGUUUCUGCUUUUCAUAACUCCUCAUAUGUGUGUUAAUUCUGCAUAAUAUGCGUUGAUAAAACCCACAGUAACACACGCUAGCACCCUUUUGCCCUCAUGCAAUAUUCUGAUUCUGUUGUACAAAUAGCCGAUAAAUGUAUAGUUCGAAUUUCGCAUUCCUCAUCAGUGAUAUUUCCAAAUUCAGUCACUAACCACUGUAUCCAACUUGUUUCACUCUUGCAUGUUGAAUCCCGAAAGAGAUGACUCACCGUCUCCUCUUCUUCUUGACACACUGGACAAGUCGUGUUUGCCACCAGUUUCAGAACUUUCAGAUUUUUCAAGACCGGCAUAAAUUCAUUAGCAACUUUCCAUAGAUGUAUUCUGAUCUUGUUUGGUACCUUUAUUUCUCAAAUUUUUUUUGUAAAAUUUAGAUAGAAGAUUAGAUUGUAUGUUGGUACCCUCUGCUGUAUUCAGCCAACUAUAUCCAGUUUUAGCUGUAUAAUCUCCUGUAUUAUCUCCCCUCCAAGUUAUAACGUCUUGUGGUGCACUACUCGCCAGCAGGAUUGAGACUAUCUUUUGCAUUUGCUCAUCCCUAAAUAAUAAACGAUUUUCCUCUUGCUUCCAG
rnacentral:lncRNA from 1 species